ACCAACUCUUAGACUUAGAUUCCAAUUCUCCAAUACCUAGCAAUAUCAUUAAAUUGCAUGUCACUUGCACAUUUAAUUUCUAUUUAUUUAUAAUAUUCUCUUAAUUAAAAUUAUUUACAGUCCACACAUAGGACUCAAUUUCAUUUUUAGAUCCAUAGCCUAAUUCAAUUUCUGGUUCAAGUCUAAUCUAACUUCUGGUUCAAAUUUGAUUCAAUUUUUGGUUUAGGUCUAAUCUACUUUCUGGUUCGAAUUUGAUUCAAUUUCUGGUUCAGGUCUAUUUCACCUUUUGGUUCGGGUCUGACCUAAUUUUUAGUUCAGGUCUGGUUCAGCUUCUGGUUUAGACCUGAUUCAACCUCUGAUUCAGGUUUGAUUCAGUUUUUGGUUCAGGUCUGACCUAAUUCCAACUUCUGGUUUAGACCCAAUUGCCCUCUGGUUCAGGUUUGGGCCCAUUUGCAUUCAGGCCCGAAGUUUAAUUAAAUCCUGGAUCAAACCCUUGGCCUGAUUCAAUCGCUAGGCCCGUUUGGAACAGGCCCUUGCCCUGAUUAUUCAGGUGCAGAAAUUGGUUAAAUUCUGGAACAGGCCCUUGCCCUGAUUUAGUCACUGAGCCCAUUUAUAUUCAGGUCCAGUAAUAUAAUUAGUUAACUUAUGAUUAAAUUCUAUUAGUUAUAUUUAAUUUAAAGGGACCUAGCCUCAAACUAUAUUCAAUUGGACCCUUACAUUAAGGUUUGGACUCCUCAUGCCUAAUUUAGUUUUGGGUUUAAGAAUACUGGGCUCGGACCAGACCCAACCCAGCCUCAGACCUUUAAAACCCAAGUUAUUUGAAACCUACUGCCGAAAUCAGGCCC
rnacentral:lncRNA from 1 species